rnacentral:rRNA from 1 species
UACGUAGGUGGCAAGCGUUGUCCGGAUUUACUGGGCGUAAAGAGCGCGCAGGCGGUCGUUCAAGUCGCGUGUGAAAGCCCCCGGCUCAACUGGGGAGGGUCACGCGAUACUGAUCGACUCGAAGGCAGGAGAGGGUAGUGGAAUUCCCGGUGUAGUGGUGAAAUGCGUAGAUAUCUGGAGGAACACCGGUGGCGAAGGCGGCAUCCUGGACCAACACUGACACUGAGGUGCGAAAGCCAGGGGAGCAAACGGG